GUUUAAUUCUACUACAAAACCAUUCUCUAGUCAUUGAUGGAAGUUUCAUUUUUCAGCUUUUUUAUUUCUUUUCUGUCCCUCUGCAUUCUGAUUAAAAUGGAAAAGGGUUGAGUUGUGUAUUUAACUUACUCAGAAGUCAACAACUUUAAAAUUGAACUUGAAGAUUUUAUGAAGUUGGAGGACACUUACACAAAGUGUAAUAAUAAUUAGUGAAGCCCUUCAUGAAGGUGAGUUACUCCAAGAUCAUCACACCAGGGCUAAGAACAGGAGACAGGAAGAUGUAUGUCCCUGACUUUCCAAGUCUCAACCAGCUAGCAGCUAAUCACGGAACUGGAAAUUAUACCAGACAAAUCCGAGAGAGCCAGAACUAACUCUUUCAAUCCCUGUCAUUCUACAAACUCAUCUUUCCUGAGCUCCGGUACCUUAACUAACAAACAAAGAAAAAGAAAUAAAUGUUUAAAGUAUUGUCUUGAUUUGUGGACUGCAGAGGAAUAGAACAAGAAGUGACUAAGAAGGAAGCCCUCUCUGUGAACCAGCACCACAUGCAGGCCACCGCCACCAAGGGGACAGCCAGACCUCAGCCUUUUCCUGUGAGUCAGCACCAUUUGCAGACUGCAGGGGAAGAGAACAAGAAGUCAACAGGAAGCAAACCUUCCCAUGUGUGGGCCACCAUCAUCUAGGGGACAAUGGGCUGGAAAAUAAGAACCCAACCUUGCCACCCAGGCAACCAGCGGAUCUGGAGAAACAGAGAUUUUGAUGAUAGCUACUGAAGUGAAAUGCAAUUUGAUGGUUGUGGUGAUUGGUAUUUCACUGACUUUCCAAGUCUAGGGCUGAUGGUCUGAGCAUCUACUUAGACGAUAGCAGUAUGCAGUGUAGCAUCUAUGGGGGAAUCUCUUUCUGAGGCUGGUAGCCAUUGUUGAUUCCCUAUUGUCUUGUUUUGAAGUCAUAGAUUGUUUUCAUUAUUUUGUUGCAUUGGAUUUUAUUCAUCUUUGUUUUGUUUGAUUUUGUUAUACAUGUUAUACAUGUUAUACAUGUAUGGACAGCUAUUUCAAAGAUAGCAAGAUAUAUUGUGGUAGCCAUUUUGGAUUUACUGUUGUCUUGUUUUGAAGUUCUUUGUUGGGUUCAUUUUUUCUUUUUUGGUUCUAUUCAGUUCUAUUUUUUUUUUUUAUUUUACUAUGUCUAAAGAUAUCUGCAGCUAUUUUGAAGACAGCAGGAGGCAUUAUGGUAACCAUUGUUGAUGUCCCAUGUCACUUACACUGGUUUGUUUUGAUUGGCUUUAUUCUGUUUUAUUUUGCUUUGUUUUAUUCUGUUUAAAUUUUAAAAAAGAAUUGUUUUAAAUUUCAAAUAAAAUUAUUUCCUAAAAACACUGUAGUUAUAAGUAAGAAUAAUUAUAAGU
rnacentral:lncRNA from 1 species